rnacentral:rRNA from 1 species
UACGUAGGCAGCGAGCGUUGUUCGGAGUUACUGGGCGUAAAGAGUGCGUAGGCGGUUUCGUAAGUUUGGUGUGAAAUCUCCCGGCUUAACUGGGAGGGUGCGCCGAAAACUGCGGGGCUUGAGAGUGGGAGAGGUAAGCGGAAUUCCUGGUGUAGCGGUGAAAUGCGUAGAUAUCAGGAGGAACACCAGCGGUGUAGACGGCUUACUGGACCACGACUGACGCUGAGGCACGAAAGCGUGGGGAGCAAACAGG